rnacentral:lncRNA from 1 species
UUGCUAACUUUUGUUCAAGCCGAUGUCAUAGAGGAGCCAGGCUAACUAUGGUGGCUCCCAACUAUGUGGCUCCUGCCCUCAAGAAGUAUAGUCUAGUUGUGGAGGAAAGAUAUCAACACAACUAACUGAGAUACAAGGAAGCAGUGAAGAGAAUCCCAAGAGAGACACAUAGGAGUUUGAAGAAGAAUUUACACCUGAGAAAGCAGGAUUCUUUCAUAGGGCAGAAGUAGUUUGACCUGGACCUUAAAUUAGGUUUUGGGUUGGAUUUAAAGAAUCCACAUUGAAGAAGAGUAUUCCUAGUGGGAAGAAUAGCAUUAGAAAAUGCACAGAGAUACCAAAAUAUUAGAUGUUUUUUGGAACUCUGAAACGAUUUCAUGUUUCCAGAAUACCAAGAAUUGGGGGUGUGGGAGGGGAGGCAGGAGAAGGAAGAUUUCAUGAGAAAUGAGAUUGGGACCAGACUGUGGAGGAUUUUGAGGGCUGAGAAGUUUUACUUCAUUCUAGAAAUAAUGAGGAACGACUCAGCAUUUGUUUGCCUGCAGUUUGCUUCAGGUAGCUGAGAUGUUAGUAUUUAUCUCACUGACAGAUUGUUAGGUGGGGUUCUAACUUUUCCUAAGGAAGAUGGUUGAGGCAGGGCCUUCAUGAGAUAAAUUAUAUUAUUUCAAUCUGACUGAACAGUGACUGAAUAGUGAGGGAGCUGAAGAGUGAUUAAGCAGACUUGGGGCCAGAGUGAAUUCAAGUCUGAUUGCCUCUGGAGGGUGUCUUCCUUCAGCCUUCAUCACUGGAGUGAGGACUGAUAGGUGGCCCAGAAGCCAAGCCUCAUCCUGGAAUUCUGCCUACGUCAAAGGUUCCUUGUUUAAGGAUUACGAGGGGAGAAGUGGUUUGGAGUAUUCUGGCUACUGUCACACUUAUUUACAUAUUAAAAGUUGGUCUCUACCUUU